UACAGAGGGGGCAAGCGUUGUUCGGAAUUACUGGGCGUAAAGGGCGCGUAGGCGGCCUGCUAAGUCGAACGUGAAAUCCCCGAGCUCAACUCGGGAACUGCGUCCGAUACUGGCAGGCUUGAAUCCGGGAGAGGGAUGCGGAAUUCCAGGUGUAGCGGUGAAAUGCGUAGAUAUCUGGAGGAACACCGGUGGCGAAGGCGGCAUCCUGGACCGGCAUUGACGCUGAGGCGCGAAGGCCAGGGGAGCAAAGCGGG
rnacentral:rRNA from 1 species